rnacentral:rRNA from 1 species
CGUAGGGCCCGAGCGUUGUCCGGUAUUAUUGGGCGUAAAGCAUACGUAGGCGGUUUGGUAAGACAAUGGUUAAAGCUCUGGGCUCAACCCAGAAAUCGCCGUUGUUACUGCCAAACUAGUCGGUAGCAGGGGCAAGCGGAAUUCUCGGUGUAGGAGUGAAAUCCGUUGAGAUCGAGAAGAACACCAAUGGCGAAGGCAGCUUGCUAGGCUAUUUGAGACGCUGAGGUAUGAAAGCGUGGGGAGCGAACGGGAUUAGAUACCCCGGUAGUCCACGCCGUAAACGAUGCACACUAGCCAUCAGAAGUAUCGACCCUUCUUGUAGCGAAGCUAACGCGUUAAGUGUGCCGCCUGGGAAGUACGGUCGCAAGACUA